rnacentral:lncRNA from 1 species
UUUUUUUUUUAUAAUUAAUUCAUUCCAGGAUCGAAAAUCUAAUAACAUAAAUGACUUGAUGGUAUUAAUAAUAUGGUAAUCUAAUUUUGCUGUAUAAGUAUAUAUUUUAUAUGUUUAUUUCUGAAUUUUAUUAUAAAAAUUCAAAUUUAAUAAUCUUUAUAUAUAAAAUUUUCAUAUUAAUAUAAAUUGGAUUAAUUUUGAUUCUACUAUGUUUAUUUUUUAUAUAGAUAGAUGCAUUGAUUUGGGGAUAUGGGAAGAUUGAUUACUCCUAGAGGAUCCGAUAACAAAGGUAUAUAUUGGGCUAAAAUAUUUCACAUUUUAUUAUUCUUCAGGAUAAAUAUUUAUAUGCAUAUGAGAGAAUAUUGUAGAGACUAGUUUAUAAGAAAAUAAUAAAAUAUAUGACAAAUAAUUAUUAGCUUGAUAUGUUUCCUAUAGAAUGAUCCAAUCAAUUUCCUUAUAAAUGGGGCUAAUUUGAAAAGCUUUUUUAGGAGGUGUUUGGCCUAACUUCUCAGAAGUGAUUCUGAGCCCAAAAUCACUUUUGAGCUCAGUAGAGCGUUUGGAAACGAUAGAUAGAAAAUUUGAUUCUAGUUUUCAGAAUCAGAAAACGGAUUUUGAAAGAUCCAGAAUCAGAAGUAGAAAAAAGUUGCUUCUCCAAAACUAAUUCUGAUUUAGGAUUCAAACUUUAAAUUUUUAUUUUUAUUUUAGAUUCAAAGUAUAAAUUUAGCAUUAAAUUUAAAAUUUUAAAUUUUAAAUUUAUAUUGGAAUUUUU